rnacentral:rRNA from 1 species
UACGUAGGGGGCAAGCGUUAUCCGGAAUUAUUGGGCGUAAAGGGCGCGUAGGCGGGUAUUUAAGUCAGGUGUGAAAACCCAGAGCUCAACUCUGGGCCUGCAUCUGAAACUGGAUAUCUUGAGGACAGGAGAGGAAAGUGGAAUUCCUAGUGUAGCGGUGAAAUGCGUAGAUAUUAGGAGGAACACCAGUGGCGAAGGCGACUUUCUGGACUGUAACUGACGCUGAGGCGCGAAAGCGUGGGGAGCAAACAGG